ACACUCCUGCGGGAGGCAGCAGUGGGGAAUAUUGCACAAUGGGCGGAAGCCUGAUGCAGCAACGCCGCGUGCGGGAUGACGGCCUUCGGGUUGUAAACCGCUUUCGCCUGUGACGAAGCGUGAGUGACGGUAAUGGGUAAAGAAGCACCGGCUAACUACGUGCCAGCAGCCGCGGUGAUACGUAGGGUGCGAGCGUUGUCCGGAUUUAUUGGGCGUAAAGGGCUCGUAGGUGGUUGAUCGCGUCGGAAGUGUAAUCUUGGGGCUUAACCCUGAGCGUGCUUUCGAUACGGGUUGACUUGAGGAAGGUAGGGGAGAAUGGAAUUCCUGGUGGAGCGGUGGAAUGCGCAGAUAUCAGGAGGAACACCAGUGGCGAAGGCGGUUCUCUGGGCCUUUCCUGACGCUGAGGAGCGAAAGCGUGGGGAGCGAACAGGCUUAGAUACCCCAGUAGUCCCAU
rnacentral:rRNA from 1 species